rnacentral:rRNA from 1 species
GAGGAAUAUUGGUCAAUGGGCGAGAGCCUGAACCAGCCAAGUAGCGUGCAGGAUGACGGCCCUAUGGGUUGUAAACUGCUUUUAUGUGGGGAUAAAGUGAGCUACGUGUAGUUUAUUGCAGGUACCACAUGAAUAAGGACCGGCUAAUUCCGUGCCAGCAGCCGCGGUAAUACGGAAGGUCCAGGCGUUAUCCGGAUUUAUUGGGUUUAAAGGGAGCGUAGGCCGUGGAUUAAGCGUGUUGUGAAAUGUAGACGCUCAACGUCUGAAUUGCAGCGCGAACUGGUUCACUUGAGUAUGCGCAACGUAGGCGGAAUUCGUCGUGUAGCGGUGAAAUGCUUAGAUAUGACGAAGAACUCCGAUUGCGAAGGCAGCUUACGGGAGCACAACUGACGCUGAAGCUCGAAGGUGCGGGUAUCAAACAGGAUUAGAUACCCUGGUAGUCCGCACAGUAAACGAUGGAUGCCCGUUGUUAGUUCACUUAUGAAUUAGCGACCAAGCGAAAGCAUUAAGCAUCCCACCUGGGGAGUACGCCGGCAACGGUG